rnacentral:rRNA from 1 species
GACGAACGCUGGCGGCGUGCUUAACACAUGCAAGUCGAACGGAAAGGCCCUGCUUUUGUGGGGUGCUCGAGUGGCGAACGGGUGAGUAACACUUGAGUAACCUGCCCUUGACUUUGGGAUAACUUCAGGAAACUGGGGCUAAUACCGGAUAGGAUCUCCUGCUGCAUGGUGGGGGUUGGAAAGUUUCGGCGGUUGGGGAUGGACUGGCGGGUUAUCAGCUUGUUGGUGGGGUAGUGGCUUACCAAGGCUUUGACGGGUAGCCGGCCUGAGAGGGUGACCGGCCACAUUGGGACUGAGAUACGGCCCAGACUCCUACGGGAGGCAGCAGUGGGGAAUAUUGAAAAAUGGGCGGAAGCCUGAUGCAGCAACGCAGCGUGCGGGAUGACGGCCUUCGGGUUGUAAACCGAUUUAGCAUGUGACGAAGAGUGAGUGACGGUAAUGGGUAAAGAAGCACCGGCUAACUACGUG